rnacentral:rRNA from 1 species
UACGGAGGGGGUUAGCGUUGUUCGGAAUGACUGGGCGUAAAGCGCGCGUAGGCGGGUCGGAAAGUCGGGGGUGAAAUCCCGGGGCUCAACCCCGGAAUGGCCUUCGAAACUCCCGGUCUUGAGUUCGAGAGAGGAGAGUGGAAUUCCGAGUGUAGAGGUGAAAUUCGUAGAUAUUCGGAGGAACACCAGUGGCGAAGGCGGCUCACUGGCUCGACACUGACGCUGAGGUGCGAAAGCGUGGGGAGCAAACAGG